rnacentral:rRNA from 1 species
UACGUAGGUGGCGAGCGUUGUCCGGAAUUACUGGGUGGUAAAGACGCGUGUAGGCGGCAGGCCAAGGUUCGGUUGGUGAAAGCGCCCGGCUCCGAACUGGGCGAGGUCCAUGGAAACUGGUCAGCUGGAGGACGGUAGAGGCGAGUGGAAUUCCCGGUGUAGUGGUGAAAUGCGUAGAGAUCGGGAGGAACACCUGUGGCGAAGGCG